CGGACGGGUUAGUAACGCGUGGGAACGUGCCCUUCUCUACGGAAUAGUCCCGGGAAACUGGGUUUAAUACCGUAUACGCCCUUCGGGGGAAAGAUUUAUCGGGGAAGGAUCGGCCCGCGUCUGAUUAGAUAGUUGGUGGGGUAAUGGCCUACCAAGUCGACGAUCAGUAGCUGGUUUGAGAGGAUGAUCAGCAACACUGGGACUGAGACACGGCCCAGACUCCUACGGGAGGCAGCAGUGGGGAAUCUUAGACAAUGGGCGCAAGCCUGAUCUAGCCAUGCCGCGUGAGUGAUGAAGGCCUUAGGGUCGUAAAGCUCUUUCGCUGGGGAAGAUAAUGACUGUACCCAGUAAAGAAACCCCGGCUAACUCCGUGCCAGCAGCCGCGGUAAUACGGAGGGGGUUAGCGUUGUUCGGAAUUACUGGGCGUAAAGCGCGCGUAGGCGGAUUGGAAAGUUGGGGGUGAAAUCCCGGGGCUCAACCCCGGAACGGCCUCCAAAACUAUCAGUCUAGAGGUCGAGAGAGGUGAGUGGAAUUCCGAGUGUAGAGGUGAAAUUCGUAGAUAUUCGGAGGAACACCAGUGGCGAAGGCGGCUCACUGGCUCGAUACUGACGCUG
rnacentral:rRNA from 1 species